GGAUAACCAGUAGCCAAGACAACGGAAUGUGGAUCACAAAUUGUAUUAUCGAUAGCCAUGCUAUAAUAAUGUUCUUCUGUUGUGCUUGAAGGUACAUCUGGAUCGUCAAGCUAAAUACAAAGUUGUAGAUGAAGGGAAUGAACCAGUAGGAAACGUAUCCAGCAGCAUCCGCGAUUGAUCCAUUCUCACCGAGUAGAUGAAAGAUUGGAGUGGCUAAGACGAAAAACGGAAGCAAUGCGGUCAAUGUAAUCAAACCAACAAUCCAUGAUCUUUGCAAGUAAAUUCCCAUCAUAUGAUACUGUCCUGCUCCAUAUGCUUGUCCACAGAGAGUUUCAGUGGCGCUUGACAUUCCAAUCAGUAUACCAUUGACGAAUCGCACAGUGAGAGUUUGUACAAGUGCAUAAGCAGCGAGAUCUAAUCCACUAAUGUGUCCGAUGAAUGAUUGUGUGACCACUAUACUUCCAAAUGAAGCUACUCUUGACAGUACUCCGGGUAAUGCAACUCUCCAUAUCUUCUUAGACUCGUCGUAGAUCCUCUCCUUUAAGUUAUCAUCAACUUUUUCUAUUUGUGAAUCAAGUAGCCUCUCUUGCACACUGUUAUCCAUGACUAUUUAUACUGAUCCGUAGAUCCUGUGAUUUUGGUUAAAGUGAAUCCACUUUUAAUGGAGUUCCUGCAACUCUGUAAUUUCGACGGAAAUCCUGUCGCCGCCGUGCUGAAGGCGGAAGUACGGCGGAGCUACGGUGAGAAGUACGGCGGAGCCACUAGAUGCUCCGAGCGCGAUUUGGC
rnacentral:misc_RNA from 1 species